rfam:Acetobacteraceae bacterium AT-5844 genomic scaffold Scfld22, whole genome shotgun sequence.
CCGGAGCUGCCCGGCUCGUCAGGUACAUUAUCCCUGGGGCCAAUAAGCAACCUCCGGGAGCUGGCUCUGACCGGAUCUUGGUCCGGUUACCUGGCGCCCACCUGUUUACGCAGGUCUCGGGAGGAUAAAAACGCCAACGGCCAUGGCGGCUCCACU